rnacentral:rRNA from 1 species
AUUGAACGCUGGCGGCAGGCCUAACACAUGCAAGUCGAACGAGCGGCGGACGGGUGAGUAAUGUAUGGGGACUGCCCGAUAGAGGGGGAUAACUACUGGAAACGGUGGCUAAUACCGCAUACUAUCGGAUAACCCAUAUGGGAUGAGCAAGUAGGUGGGGUAAAGGCUCACCUAGGGGACGAUCUCUAGCUGGUCUGAGAGGAUGAUCAGCACAACGGGGAUUGAGACACGGCCAAGACCCUUCCGGAGGAAGAAGUGGGGAAUAUUGCACAAUGGGCGAAAGCCUGAGGCAGCCAUGCCGCGUGUAUGAAGAAGGCCUUAGGGUGGUAAAGUACUUUCAGCGGGGAGGCGUUACCCGAAGAAGAAGCACCGGCUAACUCCGUGCCAGCAGCCGCGGUAAUUC